CCUACGGGAGGCAGCAGUGAGGAAUAUUGGUCAAUGGGCGGAAGCCUGAACCAGCCAAGUAGCGUGCAGGAUGACGGCCCUACGGGUUGUAAACUGCUUUUAUACGGGAAUAACGCGCCUUACGUGUAGGGCUUUGCAUGUACCGUAUGAAUAAGGACCGGCUAAUUCCGUGCCAGCAGCCGCGGUAAUACGGAAGGUCCGGGCGUUAUCCGGAUUUAUUGGGUUUAAAGGGAGCGUAGGCCGCAUGUCAAGCGUGCUGGGAAAUGGUCGGGCCAAACCCGGGCCUUGCAGCGCGAACUGGCGUGCUUGAGUGCGCGGGAAGCAGGCGGAAUUCGUCGUGUAGCGGUGAAAUGCUUAGAUAUGACGAAGAACCCCGAUUGCGAAGGCAGCUUGCUGCAGCGGAACUGACGCUGAUGCUCGAAAGCGCGGGUAUCGAACAGGAUUAGAUACCCUUGUAGUC
rnacentral:rRNA from 1 species